CCAGACUACUGGACGUUUUCACAUGUGCGUAUUUAAUUGCUUGGAAAAUGAGUGGAAGCUUCAAGCAUCUAAAAGACAUUCAACUUCAUCAUCUUUGACAGCCUGGUAAAGUUUGUGGCAUAAGAGAGAAAGAAUGACUUGGAAGCAAGACUGAGGAGUGAGGAGAAUGCUGACCCCAAAUACAGGCCCAGUGGUAUGAAGGUUCCUUGCUUUCUGGCACUAAAAAAUCUCCAGGCCAAUCUUGUAUAAGUCCUGCCCAGACCUACAACCAGCCACCUUGCCAAGGAGUCCUGUCCUUUUAUUGAAGAAUGGUAUAAUAAACAAGAUCCAGGCGUUUGUGCUCUUUCUCUUCUUGAGAGACUUAUUGGACCAUUGUGAAAAUGACUGACAG